GUAGGGAGCAAACGUUGUCCGGAUUUAUUGGGCGUAAAGGGCUCGUAGGCGGUUCAACAAGUCGAUCGUGAAAGCCCGGGGCUCAACCCCCGGGAGGCCGGUCGAAACUGUUGUGACUAGAGUUCGGUAGAGGUGAGUGGAAUUCUCGGUGUAGCGGUGGAAUGCGCAGAUAUCGAGAGGAACACCAUUAGCGAAGGCGGCUCACUGGGCCGAUACUGACGCUGAGGAGCGAAAGCGUGGGGAGCAAACAGGAUUAGAAACCCUGGUAGUCCACGCCGUAAACGAUGAACACUAGGUGUAGCGGACUGAUUCACGUCUGCUGUGCCGUAGCUAACGCAUUAAGUGUUCCGCCUGGGGAUACGGCCGCAAGGCUA
rnacentral:rRNA from 1 species